rnacentral:misc_RNA from 1 species
CGACCAUCAAGCCUGGCUUGUUAUUGGACUCCUUUGCAACUGAAACAUGUGGCAGGUCCGAAAGAUAAUGACGGUGUCGUGUUUGACCCUAGAUGCAACGAGCUUUUCAUAGCACGCAUUGAAGUGGUCGGGCGACCCGGUCUUAACCAUCAUUUUCUAAGGUUGACCUCGGAUCAGGUAGGAAUACCCGCUGAACUUAA